UGCUGUAGCUCAGUCGGUAGAGCGCAUCCUUGGUAAGGAUGAGGUCGGCGGUUCGAAUCCGCCCAGC
rnacentral:tRNA from 3 species